rnacentral:lncRNA from 1 species
GGUGGGGUAUUUAUAUGCCCCAAUGGCUUUAGAAUUGGAGCCAAAAAGUGUCACAUCCCCGGAUUUUGAGGCAUUAGCAGUACCACCACCAUUAAUGGGCUGUACUAUCGCCUGCAAACUGACACUGGGCGGUACCACCACUUAAUAGAGCUCGGAGAUCGAGCUCUAGCGGUACCACCUCGUAACAGGGGUGGUACCA